GUGCUCAUUUUGCAGCACAUACGCUGAAAAAUUGGAACAAUACAGAAAUUAGCAUGGCCCCUGCACAAGGAUCACACACACCCACACAAGGACACAAGGACACAA